GACGAGCUGGUAGGGGAGCCGUGAAUCUGGAGGAUGACCAUCACUCUACCAACAAGGAUUACUUUAGGGCCAGACGCACGCUGUUUGUUCCAGACCAGGACUCUGGCUGAGGAGAGCUGAUGGAGGAGCCAAGACUCUGGAGGACGACAUCACUCCACCAACCAGGAUCCUCCGACGAAUUACGUUUGUAACGAGACCAGGAAUCUGGAGGACUGAUGGAGAAGCCGUACAUCUGGAAGGCAAAUCCUGAGGACCACCAGGACUCUUUGUUCAGGUGGUCUGCAUUAUCUGGACAUGGUGGACUAGACACACCUGAGCUGAACCUCACCUGAUCCUGUUUGGUCGGGGGUAGACACACCUGAGCUA